rnacentral:rRNA from 1 species
UACGGGGGGGGCAAGCGUUGUUCGGAAUUACUGGGCGUAAAGGGCUCGUAGGUGGCCAACUAAGUCAUACGUGAAAUCCCUCGGCUUAACCGGGGAACUGCGUCUGAUACUGGAUGGCUUGAGGUUGGGAGAGGGAUGCGGAAUUCCAGGUGUAGCGGUGAAAUGCGUAGAUAUCAGGAGGAACACCGGUGGCGAAGGCGGGUCUCUGGGCAGUAACUGACGCUGAGGAGCGAAAGCGUGGGGAGCGAACAGG